rnacentral:tRNA from 1 species
CAAACAAUAGUCUAAAUUAGGGUCCUAG